CCUCCAACCGGACUGGGCUUUUUUGUUUCAGUCCGGCUGGAACACACAUUCGUCCUCCUGUGAUCCAAGAAACUCGUCGCCGCCGGCUGCAUCCCCGCCGCCCGUCGCCGCCCUAAACCAGCCCAAGAUCUGACCCCUGCCCUCCAUGGAGGAGGCGGAGAAAGGGGAGCUCUUGUAGAGGGACACCAAGCCUUGGCUGGACAGCCAUCCGGGGCCAACGGCCGGCCUGUCCCUGCUCACCGAUGACCUCAUCCUCGAGAUCCUCUCCCGCCUCCCCGUCAGAUCCCUUCACCGCUUCAAGUGCGUCUCCGUGGCCUGGCGCGACCUCAUCGCCGACCCCGCCAACCGCAACAAGUUGCCCCAGACCCUCACUGGCUUCUUCUACAUGACCAUCAACAACAGGCUCGGCCACCACUUUGCCAGCGUCUCCGGCAACGGUGCAGCCCCGUUCGACCUUUCCAUCCCUUACCUGCACAAUAACAAGUAUGGCGGCAUCACCCAGUUGGAUGCCUGCAAUGGCCUCCUUCUAUACUGUGCCUUCAAGAAGAAGAUGGAGAGUUGGGAUGAUUUCGGUUUUCUAGUGUGCAAUCCCGCCACUGGGAGGUGGUUGGAGCUGCCCCCACGGCCGCCUGUGCCCGCAAACAGAUAUAGCUGUACCACAGGUCUUGCUUUUGAUCCGACAGUCUCAUCUCAUUUCUACGUUCUUCACUUUGAGCAGGCCGUUCCGGGAACUUACAUCACAGGAGUGAGCAUCUACUCGUCGCGGACAGGAGCCUGGAGUUGCAGGAGUAGUAGGAUGGUUGAGAAAGUGCUGCCCUUCCGUAGUAAAUGUGUCUUCGUCGGCGGUAUGAUGUACUCCCCCCGUUCCGAUUUACUCGUCGUGGUUUUAGUUCAAAUUUGAACUAAAACCACGACAAGUAAAUCGGAACGGAGGGAGUAUUUGAUUGGCAGCCUGAUGGGCUUCAACAACAAGUACGUCCUGAUGGUGGUGGACAUGGAGGGGAAAGUGUGGAAGAUUAUCCCUUUGCCGUACGGCCAAAGAUCUGCCACGAUUGGAGUGUCACAAGGGUGCUUACACUAUAUUGUAGAUUCAACUGUUUCAGUCAAUGAUAGUAAUGAAAUCCUAGUUUCUGGGAUAACACUUUGGUGCCUCAAGGAUCGUGACAGUAAAGAAUUGGUUCUCAAGCGUUCUGCCAACAUCAAUGAGCUAAUGAGCAUGAUUGGGGAGAAGUACAUGGUGGCCGAGAUUCAUCCAGAUUGUGACACCAUUUUCUUGAUGUCAUCUGGAGGUGAUACCUUGGUAGCGUAUGAUAUGCAACAUCAGAAAGUUCAUUGUAUCCUUAAUCUUGAGAAAGGCAUUACAAAACCGAAACGGUUUCUACCCUAUGUUCCUCUCUUCUCAGAGUCAUUACCAGAUGCAGAUGGGCAGUAGCUUUACCUUCAAACCACCCCUGUGCUUCCUCCCAAGAACCGUCUCUUCUUUCGGCUGAACAAUUUGUCUGUGUACUUUGGAAUCUGCUUCAAUCAUGAUGCUCAAUUUGCUACUGCUUACACUCCUGCUGGCUUGAUUUCCAGUUCGGAGCAAUGCCUGGCAAACUACAGGUGAAGCAUAAUGUCAUUUGCAAAGAACAUUGUUACUCUUGGUCUGUGUUGCCUAGCACUGGUUAUUGUUCGGGGCAUGUGUUAGUUCCAUGUGGCUAAAUUCUACUGUAAUUGCUCUUCCUUUCCAUAACAAUCAGUUUAUUAUGGUUA